UACGUAUGGGGCAAGCGUUAUCCGGAUUUACUGGGUGUAAAGGGAGCGCAGGCGGCCUGGCAAGCCUGAUGUGAAAUACCGGGGCCCAACCCCGGGGCUGCAUUGGGAACUGCCAGGCUGGAGUGCCGGAGAGGCAGGCGGAAUUCCUAGUGUAGCGGUGAAAUGCGUAGAUAUUAGGAGGAACACCAGCGGCGAAGGCGGCCUGCUGGACGGUGACUGACGCUGAGGCUCGAAAGCGUGGGGAGCAAACAGG
rnacentral:rRNA from 1 species